CCUGUGACAUACCUAUACGUUGCCUCGGCGGAUCAGCCCGCGCCCCGUAAAAAGGGACGGCCCGCCCGAGGACCCCUAAACUCUGUUUUUAGUGGAACUUCUGAGUAAAACAAACAAAUAAAUCAAAACUUUCAACAACGGAUCUCUUGGUUCUGGCAUCGAUGAAGAACGCAGCAAAAUGCGAUAAGUAAUGUGAAUUGCAGAAUUCAGUGAAUCAUCGAAUCUUUGAACGCACAUUGCGCCCGCCAGUAUUCUGGCGGGCAUGCCUGUUCGAGCGUCAUUUCAACCCUCAAGCUCAGCUUGGUGUUGGGACUCGCGGUAACCCGCGUUCCCCAAAUCGAUUGGCGGUCACGUCGAGCUUCCAUAGCGUAGUAAUCAUACACCUCGUUACUGGUAAUCGUCGCGGCCACGCCGUAAAACCCCAACUUCUGAAUGUUGACCUCGGAUCAGGUAGGAAUACCCGCUGAACUUAAGCACUUCUGAAUGUGACCUNGAU
rnacentral:misc_RNA from 1 species